rnacentral:rRNA from 1 species
UACUGGAAACGGUGGCUAAUACCGCAUAACGUCGCAAGACCAAAGAGGGGGACCUUCGGGCCUCUUGCCAUCAGAUGUGCCCAGAUGGGAUUAGCUUGUUGGUGAGGUAACGGCUCACCAAGGCGACGAUCCCUAGCUGGUCUGAGAGGAUGACCAGCCACACUGGAACUGAGACACGGUCCAGACUCCUACGGGAGGCAGCAGUGGGGAAUAUUGCACAAUGGGCGCAAGCCUGAUGCAGCCAUGCCGCGUGUAUGAAGAAGGCCUUCGGGUUGUAAAGUACUUUCAGCGGGGAGGAAGGUGUUGUGGUUAAUAACCGCAGCAAUUGACGUUACCCGCAGAAGAAGCACCGGCUAACUCCGUGCCAGCAGCCGCGGUAAUACGGAGGGUGCAAGCGUUAAUCGGAAUUACUGGGCGUAAAGCGCACGCAGGCGGUCUGUCAAGUCGGAUGUGAAAUCCCCGGGCUCAACCUGGGAACUGCAUUCGAAACUGGCAGGCUUGAGUCUUGUAGAGGGGGGUAGAAUUCCAGGUGUAGCGGUGAAAUGCGUAGAGAUCUGGAGGAAUACCGGUGGCGAAGGCGGCCCCCUGGACAAAGACUGACGCUCAGGUGCGAAAGCGUGGGGAGCAAACAGGAUUAGAUACCCUGGUAGUCCACGCCGUAAACGAUGUCUACUUGGAGGUUGUGCCCUUGAGGCGUGGCUUCCGGAGCUAACGCGUUAAGUAGACCGCCUGGGGAGUACGGCCGCAAGGUUAAAACUCAAAUGAAUUGACGGGGGCCCGCACAAGCGGUGGAGCAUGUGGUUUAAUUCGAUGCAACGCGAAGAACCUUACCUGGUCUUGACAUCCACAGAAGAAUCCAGAGAUGGAUUUGUGCCUUCGGGAACUGUGAGACAGGUGCUGCAUGGCUGUCGUCAGCUCGUGUUGUGAAAUGUUGGGUUAAGUCCCGCAACGAGCGCAACCCUUAUCCUUUGUUGCCAGCGGUUAGGCCGGGAACUCAAAGGAGACUGCCAGUGAUAAACUGGAGGAAGGUGGGGAUGACGUCAAGUCAUCAUGGCCCUUACGACCAGGGCUACACACGUGCUACAAUGGCGCAUACAAAGAGAAGCGACCUCGCGAGAGCAAGCGGACCUCAUAAAGUGCGUCGUAGUCCGGAUUGGAGUCUGCAACUCGACUCCAUGAAGUCGGAAUCGCUAGUAAUCGUGGAUCAGAAUGCCACGGUGAAUACGUUCCCGGGCCUUGUACACACCGCCCGUCACACCAUGGGAGUGGGUUGCAAAAGAAGUAGGUAGCUUAACCUUCGGGAGGGCGCUUACCACUUUGUGAUUCAUGACUGGGGUGAAGUCGUAACAAGGUAACCGUAGGGGAACCUGCGGUUGGAUCACCUCCUUACCUUAAAGAA